UACAGAGGGGGCAAGCGUUGUUCGGAAUUACUGGGCGUAAAGGGCGCGUAGGCGGCCUUCUAAGUCGAACGUGAAAUCCCCGGGCUCAACCCGGGAACUGCGUCCGAUACUGGAAGACUUGAAUACGGGAGAGGGUAGUGGAAUUCCUAGUGUAGGAGUGAAAUCCGUAGAUAUUAGGAGGAACACCGGUGGCGAAGGCGGCUGCCUGGACCGAUAUUGACGCUGAGACGCGAAAGCGUGGGGAGCAAACAGG
rnacentral:rRNA from 1 species